GGUACGAAAGCGUGGAGAGGAAGCUGCUGCCAAAGAAGAAUGAUCAACAAGUGCUGAUCUCUAUCCAGGAAAUAUAAAUUUACUUCUCUCUUUGUGGAAGCAUUGGAGAAAUUAAAGUAAGAAGAAAAAUAUUUGGUAUUUUCGAUCAUCACUCCAGCUCACGAAUUCUCUUUCCUUGAAAACAAUCAGGAAAUAUCGUCGACGUCCCAGUGAAGUGCAAGGGCAGCGCCGUUGCUGACAAGCCCUGCAUGUGCGGCGUCUGCGCAUCUCGAAGCGCUUCCGCUAGCACCACGAGGACGAGCGCCAGAAGAGGCUCGCCCGAAUGCGCUCCCUCGAGAGCAAGAAGCUAGCGCCAUGGCUAAUGGGACGACAAGAGACAGAAUUGUGCAGGUGGGGGGAGGAUCGGAGGAGACGCGGAUGGAGGAAGAGGCCCGAACGAGAGAUAUUUCAUGGGUCGAACACGUGUGGCGAUACAUACGCGACAUGUUUAUUACUCCUGCUAACGCUACGACGACUCAAAAAACAGUACUUCCAACAAUAAUUGCAUCUAUGGUGUCACUACGACGACUCUGUAAUGCAUUCAAGUUGAUGGAUACAUCAUUCCUUCUAUCGCAGAAUAAAUCCACUGCUGGGGAUCUCGGACUGAUCAUUGGCAAAAAAGCAUCGGCCGUUAAAUGGAUGCGAGAUAGUGAACUCGAUGGACUC
rnacentral:lncRNA from 1 species